AGUGAACGCUGGCGGUAGGCCUAACACAUGCAAGUCGAACGGCAGCACAGGAGAGCUUGCUCUCUGGGUGGCGAGUGGCGGACGGGUGAGGAAUACAUCGGAAUCUACUUUUUCGUGGGGGAUAACGUAGGGAAACUUACGCUAAUACCGCAUACGACCUACGGGUGAAAGCAGGGGACCUUCGGGCCUUGCGCGAUUGAAUGAGCCGAUGUCGGAUUAGCUAGUUGGCGGGGUAAAGGCCCACCAAGGCGACGAUCCGUAGCUGGUCUGAGAGGAGAAUGAGCCACACUGGAACUGAGACACGGUCCAGACGCCUACGGGAGGCAGCAGUGGGGAAUAUUGGACAAUGGGCGCAAGCCUGAUCCAGCCAUACCGCGUGGGUGAAGAAGGCCUUCGGGUUGUAAAGCCCUUUUGUUGAGAGAGAAAUCCAGCUGGCUAAUACCCGGUUGGGAUGACGGUACCCAAAGAAUAAGCACCGGCUAACUUCGUGCCAGCCGCCGCGGUAA
rnacentral:rRNA from 1 species